rnacentral:rRNA from 1 species
AAUGUGGGUUAAAUUCCCAAAAGGGGCACACCCUUUUCUUUUUUGUUCCCACCAUUAAGUGGGGCAUUUUAAGGGAACUCCCGGGGAAAACCGGGGAGAAGGGUGGGGAUGAGUAAAUUUCCUUUGGCCCUUUACCCCGGGGGCUACACACGUGUUAAAAUGGCGGUGACAAUGGGAGGCAAAGGGGAAAGCGGGGGCAAAUCUCAAAAAGCGGUCUCAGUUCG